rnacentral:rRNA from 1 species
UGGGGAAUAUUGCACAAUGGGCGAAAGCCUGAUGCAGCAACGCCGCGUGAGUGAUGAAGGUCUUCGGAUUGUAAAGCUCUGUCUUUUGGGACGAUAAUGACGGUACCAAAGGAGGAAGCCACGGCUAACUACGUGCCAGCAGCCGCGGUAAUACGUAGGUGGCGAGCGUUGUCCGGAUUUACUGGGCGUAAAGGGUGCGUAGG